rnacentral:tRNA from 1 species
GGUAACUCAGUGGUAGAGUGCUUGCUUCGCAUGCAUGAGGCCCUGGGUUCGAUUCCUCGGUACCA